rnacentral:lncRNA from 1 species
AUUACUUGGCUAAAAGAAGGUGAUAGGAAUACUUCAUUCUUUCAUAAAGUGGCAUCAAGUAGAAAAAGAGAGAAUUAUCUUGACAUUUUGUUGGAUGGCUGUAUUAAGUAUUCUAACCAGAAAGACAUUGCUUCGAUUCUUCACUCAUUCUUUAAGGAUCUCUUUGGAUGGAAUAUAGCACCUAAGUUAAAAAUCAAUUGGAGCAUGCUUUUUGACUCACCACCCCCUG